rnacentral:miRNA from 1 species
AUAAAGCUAGGUUACCAAAGGC